rnacentral:rRNA from 1 species
GUGAAAAGCCCGCUCGCCGUAAGCCCAAGGUUUCCUGCUCUACGUUCAUCGGAGCAGGGUGAGUCGGCCCCUAAGGCGAGGCUGAGAAGCGUAGCUGAUGGGAACAAGGUUAAUAUUCCUUGACCGCCGCCAAGUGCGAAGGGGGGACGGAGUAUUGAAGAUCAUCCGGGUGUUGGAAGUCCCGGUUUCCGAGCGUAGGAAGUCGACAGGCAAAUCCGUCGACGAAUUUCCGAGGCGAAGGAUCGAGGUUCUACGGAACCGAAGUGAUUGGAUGUGCUUCCAGGAAAAGCCUCUAAGCUCCAGCUUGGCGGGACCGUACCGCAAACCGACACUGGUGGGCGAGCUGAAUAUGCUCAGGCGCUUGAGAGAACUCAGGAGAAGGAACUCGGCAAAUUGACACCGUAACUUCGGGAUAAGGUGUGCCUUGGUAGCGUGAAGGGAGAAACACCCGGAGCGUGAAGAGGUCUCAGAGAAUCGGUGGCUGCGACUGUUUACUAAAAACACAGCACUCUGCAAAGACGAAAGUCGACGUAUAGGGUGUGAUGCCUGCCCGGUGCUGGAAGAUUAAUUGAUGGGGUGCAAGCUCCUGAUCGAAGUCCCAGUAAACGGCGGCCGUAACUAUAACGGUCCUAAGGUAGCGAAAUUCCUUGUCGGGUAAGUUCCGACCUGCACGAAUGGCAUAAUGAUGGCCACACUGUCUCCUCCUGAGACUCAGUGAAGUUGAAGUGUUUGUGAUGAUGCAAUCUCCCCGCGGCUAGACGGAAAGACCCCAUGAACCUUUACUGUAGCUUUGCAUUGGACUUUGAACCGAUCUGUGUAGGAUAGGCGGGAGACUGUGAAGCGAGGACGCCAGUUCUCGCGGAGUCGUCCUUGAAAUACCGCCCUGAUUUGUUUGAGGUUCUAACCUAGGUCAGUCAUCCUGAUCGGGGACCGUGCAUGGUAGGCAGUUUGACUGGGGCGGUCUCCUCCUAAAGGGUAACGGAGGAGUGCGAAGGUACGCUAGGUACGGUCGGAAAUCGUGCUGAUAGUGCAAUGGCAAAAGCGUGCUUGACUGCGAGACCGACAAGUCGAGCAGAUACGAAAGUAGGUCAUAGUGAUCCGGUGGCUCUGUAUGGAAGGGCCAUCGCUCAACGGAUAAAAGGUACUCUGGGGAUAACAGGCUGAUACCGCCCAAGAGUUCAUAUCGACGGCGGUGUUUGGCACCUCGAUGUCGGCUCAUCUCAUCCUGGGGCUGUAGCCGGUCCCAAGGGUAUGGCUGUUCGCCAUUUAAAGAGGUACGUGAGCUGGGUUUAAAACGUCGUGAGACAGUUUUGUCCCUAUCUGCCGUGGGCGUUGGAAGAUUGACGGGGGCUGCUCCUAGUACGAGAGGACCGGAGUGGACUGACCUCUGGUGUACCGGUUGUCACGCCAGUGGCAUCGCCGGGUAGCUAUGUCGGGAAGAGAUAACCGCUGAAAGCAUCUAAGCGGGAAACUUGCCUGAAGAUAAGUCUUCCUGGAGGCUUGACCUCCCUGAAGAGUCGUUCGAGACCAGGACGUUGAUAGGUUGGGUGUGUAAGCGCUGUGAGGCGUUGAGCUAACCAAUACUAAUUGCUCGUGCAGCUUGAUCCU